rnacentral:rRNA from 1 species
UUAGAUCAGAAGCGAGAAUGUUGACAUGAGUAGCGACAAACAGGGUGAGAAACCCUGUCGCCGAAAGUCCAAGGGUUCCUGCUUAAAGCUAAUCUGAGCAGGGUAAGCCGGCCCCUAAGGCGAGGCCGAAAGGCGUAGUCGAUGGGAACCAGGUUAAUAUUCCUGGGCCAGGAGGAUGUGACGGAUCUCGAGGAUUGUCUGCCCUUAUCGGAUUGGGUGGGCCAUUUAGAGGUUCCCGGAAAUAGCCCUCCAUCAGGCCGUACCCUAAACCGACACAGGUGGACUGGUAGGGUAUACCAAGGCGCUUGAGAGAACCACGUUAAAGGAACUCGGCAAAAUGCUCCCGUAAGUUCGCGAGAAGGGAGCCCCGUCUGUAGGCAACUAUGGGCGGGGGCCACAAACUAGGGGGUGGCGACUGUUUACUUAAAACACAGGGCUGUGCGAAGCCGUAAGGCGACGUAUACAGUCUGACGCCUGCCCGGUGCUGGAAGAUUAAGAGGAGGGGUGCAAGCUCUGAAUUGAAGUCCCAGUAAACGGCGGCCGUAACUAUAACGGUCCUAAGGUAGCGAAAUUCCUUGUCGGGUAAGUUCCGACCUGCACGAAUGGCGUAACGAUCUCCCCGCUGUCUCUAACGUGGACUCAGCGAAAUUGAACUGUGUGUCAAUAUGCACACUACCCGCGGUUAGACGGAAAGACCCCAUGAACCUUUACUCCAGCUUUGCAUUGGCAACAGGACUGUGAUGUGCAGGAUAGGUGGUAGGCAUCGAAGCGGGGACGCCAGUUCCCGUGGAGCCUCCCUUGAGAUACCACCCUUCGCCGUCUUGUUGUCUAACCGCGGCCCGUUAUCCGGGUCCGGGACCGUGCAUGGUGGGGAGUUUGACUGGGGCGGUCGCCUCCCAAACAGUAACGGAGGCGCGCGAUGGUUGGCUCAGACCGGUCGGAAAUCGGUCGUUGAGUGCAAUGGCAGAAGCCAGCCUGACUGCAAGACUGACAAGUCGAGCAGAGACGAAAGUCGGUCAUAGUGAUCCGGUGGUCCCAGGUGGGAGGGCCAUCGCUCAACGGAUAAAAGGUACUCUGGGGAUAACAGGCUGAUGAUGCCCAAGAGUCCAUAUCGACGGCAUCGUUUGGCACCUCGAUGUCGGCUCAUCUCAUCCUGGGGCUGGAGCAGGUCCCAAGGGUACGGCUGUUCGCCGUUUAAAGAGGUACGUGAGCUGGGUUUAGAACGUCGUGAGACAGUUCGGUCCCUAUCUGCCGUGGGUGUAGGAGACUUGAGAAGAGUUGACCCUAGUACGAGAGGACCGGGUUGAACGAACCACUGGUGGACCAGUUGUCGUGCCAACGGCAGUGCUGGGUAGCUAUGUUCGGACAGGAUAACCGCUGAAGGCAUCUAAGCGGGAAGCCCCCUUCAAAACAAGGUCUCCCUUGAGGGCCGUGGAAGACCACCACGUCGAUAGGCCAGAGGUGUAAGCGCAGCAAUGCGUUCAGCUGACUGGUACUAAUUGCCC